rnacentral:lncRNA from 1 species
GCCCACUAUUUGAUCACUGACAGUGGAUACCCAACCUCUGUGAUUGGAGAUUCAAUGUGGUAGAAAUAAAGCUGAUUGAGUGAUCGUGUCAGAGCACAUUUUUUGGAAUAUAUUUCCUUCCAUCCCUGCGAUGAGUGCUCUUGUCAAGGACAAAAAUAUUUACUAGAAAGGUUAAGUUAUACUAUUAAAGAGUUCAAGAUAGAAAAUCUGCAAGGUACACAUUUUUUGGAAUAUAUCUCCUUCCAUCCCUACGAUGAGUGCUCUUGUCAAGGUCAAAAAUAUUUACUAGAAAGGUUAAGUUAUACUAUUAAAGAGUUCAAGAUAGAAAAUCUGCAAGGUAUUAGGUCACAAAUAUCCUUGGAGGGCUUAUCUAUGUGAGAAUUAUCAUAUAGGUCGUGACUAGGGGU